GCUUACCAUGCAGUCGAACGGGAUUUGAAGUUACCACUGAGUUUUCUGAAAUGAAGUGGUGCCAUGCGGUGAAUGAACAAAGUGAAUUCACCACGCGUUAUAAAAGUACCAACACCUUCUGAGAAGGCUGAGUGGUAACUUCGAAUCUAGUGGCGAACGGGUGAGUAACGCGUAGACAACCUACCUCUCAGAUGGGGACAACAUCGCGAAAGCGGUGCUAAUACCGAAUGAUGUAACUUUUCUGCAUG
rnacentral:rRNA from 1 species